rnacentral:rRNA from 1 species
AUUGAAGAGUUUGAACUGGUAUCAUGGCUCAGAUUGAACGCUGGCGGCAGGCCUAACACAUGCAAGUCGAGCGGAAACGAGUUAUCUGAACCUUCGGGGAACGAUAACGGCGUCGAGCGGCGGACGGGUGAGUAAUGCCUAGGAAAUUGCCCUGAUGUGGGGGAUAACCAUUGGAAACGAUGGCUAAUACCGCAUGAUGCNNNGGGCCAAAGAGGGGGACCUUCGGGCCUCUCGCGUCAGGAUACGAUUAUGCCUAGGUGGGAUUAGCUAGUUGGUGAGGUAAGGGCUCACCAAGGCGACGAUCCCUAGCUGGUCUGAGAGGAUGAUCAGCCACACUGGAACUGAGACACGGUCCAGACUCCUACGGGAGGCAGCAGUGGGGAAUAUUGCACAAUGGGCGCAAGCCUGAUGCAGCCAUGCCGCGUGNNNUGUGAAGAAGGCCUUCGGGUUGUAAAGCACUUUCAGUCGUGAGGAAGGUUUACAGAAGUGUAGUUAAUAGCUGNAUUUGACGUUAGCGACAGAAGAAGCACCGGCUAACUCCGUGCCAGCAGCCGCGGUAAUACGGAGGGUGCGAGCGUUAAUCGGAAUUACUGGGCGUAAAGCGCAUGCAGGUGGUUUGUUAAGUCAGAUGUGAAAGCCCGGGGCUCAACCUCGGAAUAGCAUUUGAAACUGGCAGACUAGAGUACUGUAGAGGGGGGUAGAAUUUCAGGUGUAGCGGUGAAAUUAGAGAUCUGAAGGAAUACCGGUGGCGAAGGCGGCCCCCUGGACAGAUACUGACAAUAGACACCUCAGAUGCGAAAGCGUGGGGAGCAAACAGGAUUAGAUACCCUGGUAGUCCACGCCGUAAACGAUGUCUACUUGGAGGUUGUGGCCUUGAGCCGUGGCUUUCGGAGCUAACGCGUUAAGUAGACCGCCUGGGGAGUACGGUCGCAAGAUUAAAACUCAAAUGAAUUGACGGGGGNCCGCACAAGCGGUGGAGCAUGUGGUUUAAUUCGAUGCAACGCGAAGAACCUUACCUACUGACAUCCAGAGAACUUUCCAGAGAUGGAUUGGUGCCUUCGGGAACUCUGAGACAGGUGCUGCAUGGCUGUCGUCAGCUCGUGUUGUGAAAUGUUGGGUUAAGUCCCGCAACGAGCGCAACCCUUAUCCUUGUUUGCCAAAUUGCACAGCGAGUAAUGUCGGGAACUCCAGGGAGACUGCCGGUGAUAAACCGGAGGAAGGUGGGGACGACGUCAAGUCAUCAUGGCCCUUACGAGUAGGGCUACACACGUGCUACAAUGGCGCAUACAGGGGCAGCCAACUUGCGAAAGUGAGCGAAUCCCAAAAAGUGCGUCGUAGUCCGGAUUGGAGUCUGCAACUCGACUCCAUGAAGUCGGAAUCGCUAGUAAUCGUGAGAAUGCCACGGUGAAUACGUUCCCGGGCCUUGUACACACCGCCCGUCACACCAUGGGAGUGGGCUGCAAAAGAAGUAGGUAGUUUCAACUACGGGAGGA